UACGAAGGGUGCAAGCGUUACUCGGAAUUACUGGGCGUAAAGCGUGCGUAGGUGGUUGUUUAAGUCUGCUGUGAAAGCCCUGGGCUCAACCUGGGAAUUGCAGUGGAUACUGGGCGACUAGAGUGUGAUAGAGGAUAGUGGAAUUUCCGGUGUAGCAGUGAAAUGCGUAGAGAUCGGAAGGAACAUCUGUGGCGAAGGCGACUAUCUGGGCCAACACUGACACUGAGGCACGAAAGCGUGGGGAGCAAACAGG
rnacentral:rRNA from 1 species